UACGAAGGGGGCUAGCGUUGUUCGGAAUUACUGGGCGUAAAGCGUGCGCAGGCGGCUUUGCAAGUCAGAUGUGAAAUCCCCGGGCUUAACCUGGGAACUGCAUUUGUGACUGCAUGGCUGGAGUGCGGCAGAGGGGGAUGGAAUUCCGCGUGUAGCAGUGAAAUGCGUAGAUAUGCGGAGGAACACCGAUGGCGAAGGCAGUCCCCUGGGCCUGCACUGACGCUCAUGCACGAAAGCGUGGGGAGCAAACAGG
rnacentral:rRNA from 1 species